UACGAAGGUGGCAAGCGUUGUCCGGAUUCAUUGGGCGUAAAGAGCGUGUAGGCGGCCAGGUAGGUCGGUUGUGAAAACUGGAGGCUCAACCUUCAGAGGUCGACCGAAACCAUCUGGCUAGAGUCCGGGAGAGGAGAGUGGAAUUCCUGGUGUAGCGGUGAAAUGCGCAGAUAUCAGGAAGAACACCCGUGGCGAAAGCGGCUCUCUGGAACGGUACUGACGCUGAGACGCGAAAGCGUGGGGAGCGAACAGG
rnacentral:rRNA from 1 species